GGGUGGGAGAGGAGGCGGGGCUGGGAUGACAUCAUAAAGGUCUCCAUGACUGGGAGGGCAGAAAUGGGAAACUGACUGUUCUGUAGCUCCCGAAUUCUUCCCCCAUGGGCCCUUCCACUUUUAUAGCCCAGAAAAGAAAAAUAAUCUUGUGAAUGUGGCAGUAUGUUUACUUCUUUUUUGUGUAAUUGUAUUGUUUUGUGUAACAAACAUCACCGAAUUAUUCUUUCAUCCUCUUCCUGAGUGUUUAACUUUUUUCCUUCUGUUAAUGUUUGUAGACUGCCUGGUGACACAGAGCCUUCACUUGACUUAGCUGCAUGCAAUGAAAGUUUCCCCGAGGCCUCUGAAUUGCACCAUCCCAAAAUGGCUUGUAAACUUGGAAUCACUUUAAAAUCAGAACUUGAGCUAUAAAAGAGCUGUUUGGAUGUUUGUCACAUCCACCUGCCUGAAUGAUUCCUAAUCCUGAAUUAAUUAGUACUGGGUCACGGUGAUCUGAAGCCAUUACCAGCUAAAUGAAGCACAAGACAAGAAUCUACCCAGGACGGGUUAUGAGCCUGAUUUAGAUUUGCUGAUCAACCCUCCUACAUGUCUUUGAUUCAUAGCAGUAACGUGUUUAGCAACAGCAUCUAGAAGAAGCGGGAAAGACUGCGAUGAUAACAAAUACCAACUGAUUGACAGAAAAACAUGGCCUUCAGCUUCAUGCAGGUGGAUGACGGUUUCAAUUUUUUCUGAGAAGACGCCCAAUGCAGGACACCUUGGCCCGCCCUCUCCACCUUGCACACCAUAAAAACAGGUGGUCUCAGAAAGGUGGCAUCGCAUUUUGACCGUGCCUUCAACGAAGACAGAGCUGCCACUGUCGGGACCUUAUUUUGACACAUUAGCAGGCUUAUUAAAGCUGACUUUGCUGUUUGCCAAGAGCGUUACACUCCUUGUUAUUUUGCUCUGCCAAUUAAACAAAGUAGCCUGGCUGGUGCCCCAACAUUUUUUUUUUUUUUUGUUGGCUUC